rnacentral:rRNA from 1 species
UACAACAUAGCUUUAAUGUACAAGAUCCCAUUAGAACUCCGCAGUUAAGCGCGCUCAGGCUAGAGUUGUACUGAAAUGGGUGACCACUUGGGAAGUCCUAGUAUUUUAC